rnacentral:misc_RNA from 1 species
GAUGAAGAACGUAGCGAAAUGCGAUACGUAAUGUGAAUUGCAGAAUUCAGUGAAUCAUCGAAUCUUUGAACGCAUAUUGCGCUCUUUGGUAUUCCGAAGAGCAUGCUUGUUUGAGUAUCAGUAAACACCUCAAAGCUUUUGGAUUUUUUAAUCGAAAAGCUUUGGACUUGAGCAAUCCCAACACCAAUCUUUUUGAGAUCGGUGGCGGGUUGCUUGAAAUGCAGGUGCAGCUGGACAUUCUCCUGAGCUAAAAGCAUAUUCAUUUAGUCCCGUCAAACGGAUUAUUACUUUUGCUGCAGCUAACAUAAAGGGAGUUUGACCGUAUUGGCUGACUGAUGCAGGAUUUCAAAAGGGUCGGCAACGAUUCUUGUUAAACUCGAUCUCAAAUCAAGUAAGACUACCCGCUGAACUUAAGCAUAUCAAUAAGCGGAGGA